CUGGUUUCGCGUCGGCCAAUGGGGUUGAUUGUCCCGCCCCUUUCAACAGCUGACGGUUGUUUCCGUGAAGAGCUAGUAAUUGACGAAUCUGGAAAUUGAUCUCGGAGGGUUUCCCCAAUUAACAACUGAAGCCCGAAAAAUAGCCGUUGACAUCGAGGAAUCGUGCCCCGCUCGUUCCGCCAGCCCAAACGUCCGCAGGCUCCGUCGAGAGCGGCCCAAACAAAACCGGCAAGACGAGAC